UCCUGUGUGGUUCAGUUGGUGGAGCAUGGCACUUGCAACACCAAGGUUAUGGGUUCGAUUCCCAUCGGGAC
rnacentral:tRNA from 1 species